rnacentral:lncRNA from 1 species
AGAGGGAAGAAUGAGAAGUGACUACUUCAUGGAUACAAGGUUUUCUCUGGGGGUGAUGAAAAUAUUUUGACAUCUGAUAAAGGUGGUGGUAGUACAGCACUGUGAAUGUACCAAUUGCCACUGAAUUGUGCAUUUUAAAGUGAUUGAUUUUAUGUGGAACAAAUUUCACUUUAAUUAUAAAAAGUGAAUAAACUUUUAGAAGCUAACCUUGGAAGAAGGUAGAGACUGGAAGGGAUCACAAGAAAGGCUUCUGGGAUGUUGGUUGAUUUCUCUAAGAAGUACAUGCUGAAAUGAAGAUAAGAGUACAAAAUAUUUAUCGGAGAGUAGUAACACAGAGGAGACACAGGAUUUGGCAGAAACACUAAACCAUGGUGAAGACCGGCUAAAGUCUCUUUGUCCAAAGGGGAGCUCUAAAGUAAAUAUGAGCCAUUAAGGGAGCCCCACACUGGAUGGAAAUGGCCAAGCCUUUUUACAACCACCUUCUCCUUGAGACACUGCCUGCAAUUCACCCUGGGAAAGCAAAACCUCAACUGUUUCUGCCUCAUUCAUUCUUUGUCAGUGCCGUAAGAAGAUUGAGAUUUCAGCUUGUAACUGUUGAAGCAAAACCUAAAGUGGUUAAUAAUGGGAGUUUGUCACAACUAUCUUAACACAAAUAUAAAAUAUUUGCAUGAA